rnacentral:lncRNA from 1 species
GGCAUAUUGGGAUAAGGUAACCUUUCAUCAUUGUGAAUUUCAGUUAUAUUCAAAAUAUAUAUUGCGUGCUAAUAUUCAAUAAAAUGUGUAGCUCUCCGUAGAAGAGGCAAAGGAAGUUGUGUCAUUCAAGAAUGUGAUGUUGGAGGUAAUAUCUCUUUUGCUCCUUAUGUGACUAGUUUAUUUCUAUAUGAAGUUAUGUUGAUGUGAUUUGCCUUACUCAAGUACUGGUUAGGUCAA